rnacentral:misc_RNA from 1 species
GUUUAUAUAAAUUCUCCAUAAACUUCAAUUUAUCGAAUUUUUACCAUUUCUUUUUGUGUGGCUAAUUUUUACUCGUUUGAUUCAUUUCUGCGAGAAUCAAUUAGCCUAAUCAGCCCCUUUUCGUUUUCUUGAAGAAUUUCUGAGAAAAUCGAUAUAUAAAGUGCAAUUUAUCGAUAUAUAUUUGGGAAAAAAGGGAUUUUUUUUGGAUAUAGAUAGAGAUUUUAGGGGUUUUUAAUAUAAAGAGAUGAUGGGUAGUGGAUUACAGUUUAAUCGGAGUUUUAACGGUGAAGAUCGGUUUUAUAGUGCUGCGAAGGCUCGCCGGAAUGUUAAUCGGAGUUUUAAUGGUGAGGAUAAUUUAAGGAGAGCUAAGAGUGAUGUUGCUAUUAGUAAUUUUCCGACGAAGACUAAAAUGAAGGUGGCUGCCGUCGAUGAAUCAACGAAGGAGUUACCGGUUGCUGCUGCCGUGCCGGCAUCGGAAGUUUUGCCGCUUUGUAAUCUACAGCGGUUUUUGAAAUCUGUUACUCCUUCAGUUCCUGCUCAAUAUCUAUCAAAGACAACUAUUAGGGGUUGGAGGACGUGUGAUGUGGAGUUUCUGCCUUACUAUGUACUUGGCGACUUAUGGGAGUCUUUUAAAGAAUGGAGUGCUUAUGGAGCUGGAGUUCCAUUGGUUUUGGAUGAAGGUGAUAGUGCAGUUCAGUACUAUGUGCCCUAUUUGUCAGGUAUUCAGUUGUAUGGCGACUCUUCAAAGGCUUCAGUCAAAACAAGGCGACCAGGUGAGGAGAGUGAUAGUGACUAUUUUCGGGAUUCCAGUAGUGAUGGAAGUAGUGACUCUGAACACGAGAGACGUUGCUUGAAUUAUUCAAGGGAGCAACGGAUGUAUCAUAGCCAAGCAAGUGAAAGCUCUCUUAGUAUCGAUGGGUUAUCAUUAAGAGACAGUAAUGCUACCUUCCAAGAAGGAUUUUCAAGCGAUGAGGGUGAAUCUGGGUCUCCUCAAGGUGCCUUGCUGUUUGAGUAUUUUGCGCAUGAUCAGCCCUAUGGUCGUGAACCUUUGGCAGACAAGAUAUCUGAUCUUGCUCAACGUUUCCCGGAAUUAAAAACAAUGAGAAGUUGUGAUCUCCUUCCUUCCAGUUGGAUAUCUGUAGCCUGGUAUCCAAUUUACCGGAUACCUACGGGACCUACUUUAAAAGCUCUGGAUGCUUGUUUUCUGACAUUUCAUUCUCUUCAUACACCCAUGCCAGGAAAUCAAAGUGGUCAUACCGCUGUUGUUGCAUGUCCAACUGAUACGGAUGCUGCCCCUAAGAUUCCACUACCUGCUUUUGGCCUUGCUUCAUACAAGUUUAAAGCGUCACUUUGGACUCCAAAUGGCGGAUCUGGAAGACAGUUAAUGAGCUCGCUCUUACAAGCUGCUGAUAACUGGCUAACACUUCUUCAGGUCAAUCAUCCUGAUUUCAGUUUCUUCUGCCAGAGGUGAAAACGAUAUACUCUCCUCUGUUUGUGGCGAGAAAACCACUCUCUGGUUGAUACAGCUGUUGAUUUUCCAAGGAAAAAUGGGUUAAGACUUGAAGAUUCGCUCUAACCUUUAGUUACAAUGCUGUUAUCUAUACUAAGAG